UACGGGGGGAGCAAGCGUUGUUCGGAUUUACUGGGCGUAAAGAGCGCGCAGGCGGCUGGUCAAGUCCGGUGUGAAAGUCACAGGCUCAACCUGUGGAUGCCGCUGGAAACUGUUUGGGCUCGAGUCCGGAAGGGGCGAGUGGAAUUCCUGGUGUAGCGGUGAAAUGCGCAGAUAUCAGGAGGAACACCAAUGGCGAAGGCAGCUCGCUGGGACGGUACUGACGCUGGAGGCGACGGAAAGCGUGGGGAGCGAACAGG
rnacentral:rRNA from 1 species